AUUGAACGCUGGCGGCAGGCCUAACACAUGCAAGUCGAACGAGUGGCGGACGGGAGAGUAAUGCUUGGGACUCUCGCUUGUGGAGGGGGAUAACUACGGGAAACUAUAGCUAAUCCCGCGUCCCAUAGGGUGCGCCCAUGUGGGAUUAGGUAGUUGGUGAGGUAAAGGCACACCAAGCCGACGAUCUCUAGCUGGUCUGAGAGGAUGAACAGCCACACUGGAACUGAGACACGGUCCAGACUCCUACGGGAGGCAGCAGUGGGGAAUAUUGCACAAUGGGCGCAAUCCUGAUGCAGCCAUGCCGCGUGUAUGAAGAAGGCCUUAGGGUUGUAAAGUACUUUCAGCGGGGAGGCGUUACCCGCAGAAGAAGCACCGGCUAACUCCGUGCCAGCCGCCGCGGUAAUUC
rnacentral:rRNA from 1 species